UUGGUUGGGAGGAGACAACAUGGCUCAGUCGGUAGAGCAUGCGAUUCUUGAUCUCAGCGUUGUGGGUUUAAGCCCCAGGUUGGGUGUAGAGAUUACCUAAAAUCUUCUUAAAAAAAUGAUUGUUGGGUUUCUAGGCUGGAUAGGACUUGUGGGUGAGUAUUGAUGGUAUGUCAGUGCUAUUGCUGAGGUGGGGAAUGUUGGAAAGAAUGGACUUGGGAACUGGGAGAAGAAAAGAAUGGAUUCAACUUUAGAUAAUGAGCUGCCGUUCAGACAAGAAAUUUAGGUAAAACUGCUAAACCUGUGUGGGGUUUAGGAGAUCUAAGUCAAGAAAAAUAAACUUGAGUGUCUUCAGGACACAGGAGACUACCCUUUGUGGCCUCAGUUCUUGUUAAGUUGUCCAAUUUGGUUUUAAUGAGAAUGUGAACAUUUAGAGAAGGCAACAACAAUUUCAACUUAAUCCUACUUCCUAUUUAUAAAAUUUAGAAGCAGAAAUAUGAAGGUUUUCGUCUUUCAAAUGACUUCUCAUGUGUUUGAGAUCAUUCUUGUUAUCUGAACUAACACAAAACUCCCAUGUAUUUUCUCCUCAUGUCUGUUUGUUACCCUAGGCCCUCAUCUAUGUGUUUUCUUUUUGUUGCCAGUCGUAAGAACCUCGUUUUAGAGGCAAGCCUGAUAAGAAGCGAUUAAAACCACAAGUCUUAUCACACCGUGCCACACUUCAUAUUUUUGCUUCCAUUGGUCACCCUCCAACAUGUAUAUCACCUCCUCCUUCCCCCGCCACUAUCUCAUAUGCAUCUUGCUGUCUGAGCUCUCAAUCAGUAGAUGCCUGCUGAACCAGGGAACGAGAAGUUAGGAGGAAACAAGUAGCACAAAUCUUAGUAUAGCAGAUUAUGUGUUACACUGUAUGCCCUGGGUGGUUUUGAACACUGACUGAACAAGCUUCUGUGUGCUGUGUCCUUGCCCUACACAUGCAUUGUUAUUAUAAGAGGGCAGGUCUCAUCUGCUUACAAGAUAAGUGCAAUUCCCACUCAUUCCGUCUCCCUCCGUGCCAGUCACACGUAGGCAUACAAAAUUUAUCUACUUCCGUUCCUUCAAGCCUAUCACAACAUGCUGUAGUAAUAAACAUGUGGAAGCUAUUUAAGUUCAGCUAAUUUAAGGAGCAAUUACAAGAAAAAGAUUUGCCAAAGAGGUCUCUGUAGUGAGCAUCUCUCCUAAAAUAAUUGCUUGGCUUUAAAACAUGACAUUUGUGUACAUUUCAAGAAUAGAGGCAUCUGGAAAAGAGAGGCCUAACAGAGGCUGUGGCGUUCUGGGGAGACAUGUUUCUCCUCUCGCUCCUCAGCGGGAUCUAGGUGGGUUUCCAAUUAGGACAAAGACGGAAAACCAGCAAUCAGAAGCAACUUUAUCCAAGAUUUUUGACCAUAGUUACUGCUCAUAAACUCAAGGGUUCUACUUGAACUUUUUUUUUUUUUUUGGAUGUUGAACAGAAAACACUUAAAGAGUUUCACUUCUAUGUUAUUGCUUUUGUCAUCUGAGUCCAUUUCCAGCUCACACUUUAAACUUUUGCUGGCCUCUGGAAAAAAAACCUCAUUUUCCGUUUUUGCAGUUAAGAGUAAAAUUUCAUUUACUUACUAUAACAACUCAGUUCUAAUUGAUACUAACACAUUUCACGUAUAUACAUUUUGCAUUAUGUCUUGGGUUUGGGGAGGGGGGUGUGAUGGCAAUGCUCAGGUUGUGGUUAAACCACAAUGUAGAGAAGCCACCUACCUAGUAAGUGUCCUUUUUUGGAUACUUUUUGAUGGUGCAGACAGUUCCUUCCACAGCAUACAUCAUGUUUUCCUAAAUGUAAAUGUUACAUGCAUUUUCAGGAUUUCCUAGCAAUUUUAGGCUUUAUAUAUUUACAGCAUAAAAAAAGAACAGAAAAACCCAGAUCUGUUGGUCAAAUGAAGUUCUCCUCUCAAGCAUCGUACUACACCUGUGCUGCAAAUUUGAUGCAAAUUUCUCCAUAGGUUCAAUAUAGGAAAGCCUAGGAGACCAAGAAUUGCACAGGAAACCAAGAGAUGUCAGCUGCCUGGGAGUUCUGCUAUGGACUCACCAGGUACAAGGGACAUUGUUCACAAGAGCAGAGGGAGUGGACACUCUUGCACUGCCAGUAGCACGUACAUCAGCACAGGUCAAGAGGGCUGGGAGUAUACAGUGAACUCCGUAAAAAGAAAGGCUACUCCCGAGAACCAUUUCUAAGGAAAAAUCCUAUACAUGGAAAAGUAGUCUGUGCGCACAGACACAAAACCUACUCCCCCGCCACCGAAAAAAUAUGGAGCCCAAACCCCCAAAAUCGCCAGUGGAGACCAAUUAACUCAUAAUGUGGAUGUUUACCUAACAGAAUGUUACAAUUUGAUAAAAUGAGAAAUAAAAUAAGAGCCUGAGGUACGGUAAAUGAAACAGCGGUUUACAACACUCUAAAAACAGAAAACCCAUGCAAAUAAAAAAGAUGAGGAAUUAUAAGAGGAUGUGGAAAUCACUGGGGGUUGGUAGUGGUGGUAAGGAAUUUUCCUACCUUCUCUGUAUUUCUCAAAUUUUCCUUAAUGUGAAUAAAUCUGUUAUAGGAAAAAAAUAAUGGGAUUUCACUCACUUCACCUUUACUCUUUCUCACUAAUGUCUAUACUCAGGAAAAUUACCUGUCAGUUUCUCACUACCUUCUUUUUCAUCCAGGUGUAACACUUGAGCCCUUUAAAAAGGGGCUCCUCUAGGAAGUUGAUUCUGAAGGGACCCUCAGAUCUUAAGAACACUAAAGCUGGGGUGCCUGGGUGGCUCAGUCGGUUAAACAUCUGACUUCGGCUGAGGUCAUGAACUCGUGGUUUGUUAAGUUCGAGCCCUGCGUUGGGCUCUGUGCUGACAGCUCAGAGCCUGGACCCUGCUUCAGAUCCUGGGUCUCCCUCUCUCUCUGCCCCUCCCCCCACUCACACUCUGUCUCUGUCCCUCUCUCUCAAAAUAAACAUAAAAAAAAGAACACUGAAGCCAAGUUUAUUCUACUGAACCGUGAAUAAGAACACAGAGUGGCUAAUUACUGUUGAAUCAAUUUUUCUUAAAAUGUCAACUACAUGGACUCCUCCUGAAUUCCAUUUUUCACCAUUAAAGUAAGCGCUUUCUCAUAUAUGGAUCGCAGAUACAGACAGACGUCUUCCAUUUGAGGACAGCAUCUCUGCUGCUAGGAAAUAAGAAGUUGAACAAUAGAGAAGAUUUUGCUGCAUUCUGACAAACCUGAAACCAUGGCUUCCUGGGACCAGGACGAGGAAGUACUCCCAAAGAGCUUCCAGCUUUGCCCAGAGACCUUAAUGUAUGCUAUAAAAAUACUAUUCUGGCUUUUUUUUCAGGAACACAAACUUUAUUUGAAAAACUAGACAUAAAACUCCAUACUCAGAAUUCUUUACUAAAACAAGAUGCCAUUUCACGCCUAUAUGAAAGAAGAAAACAGGAGAAAAUAGUGGGGACUGUGAAACGUGUGAACCCAGUAAGACCAUGAGUACAGCAACACGAAUACAUAAAAGGCAGACUGAACAGCUUCCACCCAGAGGAGCACGUACAGUGCUGUGACUCCUACCUAAACAUUUGACGGUCCCG